AUGCUCAUGUGUCACAGCAGACAAGCGGACUUUAUAUCAUCAGGAGGAGAGGAGGACUUUAUAUCAUCAGGAGGAGGAGAGGAGGACUUUAUAUCACCAGGAGGAGAGGAGGACUUUAUAUCAUCAGGAGGAGGAGAGGAGGACUUUAUAUCAUCAGGAGGAGGAGAGGAGGACUUUAUAUCAUCAGGAGGAGGAGAGGAGGACUUUAUAUCAUCAGGAGGAGGAGAGGAGGACUUUAUAUCAUCAGGAGGAGGAGAGGAGGACUUUAUAUCAUCAGGAGGAGGAGAGGAGGACUUUAUAUCAUCAGGAGGAGGAGAGGAGGACUUUAUAUCAUCAGGAGGAGGAGAGGAGGACUUUAUAUCAUCAGGAGGAGGAGAGGAGGACUUUAUAUCAUCAGGAGGAGAGGAGGACUUUAUAUCAUCAGGAGGAGGAGAGGAGGACUUUAUAUCAUCAGGAGGAGGAGAGGAGGACUUUAUAUCAUCAGGAGGAGGAGAGGAGGACUUUAUAUCAUCAGGAGGAGGAGAGGAGGACUUUAUAUCCUCAGGAGGAGGAGAGGAGGACUUUAUAUCAUCAGGAGGAGAGGAGGACUUUAUAUCACCAGGAGGAGAGGAGGACUUUAUAUCAUCAGGAGGAGGAGAGGAGGACUUUAUAUCAUCAGGAGGAGAGGAGGACUUUAUAUCACCAGGAGGAGAGGAGGACUUUAUAUCAUCAGGAGGAGGAAGGAGGACUUUAUAUCAUCAGGAGGAGGAGAGGAGGACUUUAUAUCAUCAGGAGGAGGAGAGGAGGACUUUAUAUCAUCAGGAGGAGAGGAGGACUUUAUAUCAUCAGGAGGAGGAGAGGAGGACUUUAUAUCAUCAGGAGGAGAGGAGGACUUUAUAUCACCAGGAGGAGAGGAGGACUUUAUAUCAUCAGGAGGAGAGGAGGACUUUAUAUCAUCAGGAGGAGAGGAGGACUUUAUAUCAUCAGGAGGAGGAGAGGAGGACUUUAUAUCAUCAGGAGGAGAGGAGGACUUUAUAUCACCAGGAGGAGAGGAGGACUUUAUAUCAUCAGGAGGAGGAGAGGAGGACUUUAUAUCAUCAGGAGGAGGAGAGGAGGACUUUAUAUCAUCAGGAGGAGGAGAGGAGGACUUUAUAUCAUCAGGAGAAGGAGAGGAGGACUUUAUAUCACCAGGAGGAGGAGAGGAGGACUUUAUAUCAUCAGGAGGAGGAGAGGAGGACUUUAUAUCAUCAGGAGGAGGAGAGGAGGACUUUAUAUCAUCAGGAGGAGAGGAGGACUUUAUAUCAUCAGGAGGAGAGGGGGACUUUAUAUCAUCAGGAGGAGGAGAGGACUUUAUAUCAUCAGGAGGAGGAGAGGAGGACUUUAUAUCAUCAGGAGGAGGAGAGGAGGACUUUAUAUCAUCAGGAGGAGGAGAGGACUUUAUAUCAUCAGGAGGAGGAGGGGAGGACUUUAUAUCAUUAG
rnacentral:lncRNA from 1 species